rnacentral:rRNA from 1 species
CGUAGGGGGCAAGCGUUGUCCGGAAUCAUUGGGCGUAAAGCGCGCGUAGGCGGCCCGGUAAGUCCGCUGUGAAAGUCAAAGGCUCAACCUUUGAAUGUCAGCGGAUACUGCCGGGCUAGAGUCCGGAAGAGGCGAGUGGAACUCCUGGUGUAGCGGUGGAAUGCGCAGAUAUCAGGAAGAACACCAACGGCGAAGGCAGCUCGCUGGGACGGAACUGACGCUAAGGCGCGAAAGCGUGGGGAGCGAACAGGAUUAGAUACCCUGGUAGUCCACGCCGUAAACGAUGGGCACUAGGUGUGGGAGGUGUCGACUCCUCCCGUGCCGGCGCUAACGCAUUAAGUGCCCCGCCUGGGGAGUACGGCCGCAAGGCUA